GACAGCAGGUGGCCCGUCAGUCAGUGAGGACGAGAACACGCAGCAUCAUGGCACCACUUGGUCUAAAAGCCAUUGUCGGAGAAAAGAUAAUGAAUGAUGUCAUCAAAAAGGCACGAGAAAAAGGAAAAUGGAAGGUGCUGGUGGUGGACAGACUGAGUAUGAGGAUGAUUUCCUCAUGCUGUAAGAUGACAGACAUCAUGUCCGAGGGAAUCACAAGUA